AUGACAUUGAUCUCUCACAAGAUGAGGAGUUGCAGUUCCAGAUACUUGACACUGGCUGCAGCCGUGAUCUUGCUUCUGGUACUGACAGCGGCCACAGAGGCUGAAGCCAUCCGGCUAGAUGCAGAGGUGCGGGCAUCACUCAGCAGCAGCGGUGGCAACUCAGUGUCGUCAAUGCAGAAACCGAUUGGGACCAAUGUCAUCGAGGGAUCUGCUGGCUCGACAAGCGAGACAAAGAGGAGCGUCCACGUUGCUGCAGAUGAAGUUAGUGCGGCGGCGCAUAAGUUGCCGGAGUUUCAUGAGGACUACUAUGGUCCAAAAGAUCACAGCCCUAGGCACCAUUGA
rnacentral:rRNA from 1 species